ACAGGUUGGUGACUGAGAAACGAAAAAAUAAAUCGGCAGAAAUGAGUCAAUGACGAAACCCUAGCCGCCUCGUACUUGAGAUUGCAAUGCUAGAAAGCGGUGAUACUCAGAGUUAGGGGAAGUGAUCUAAACCCUAACAUCGCAGUGUUUAAGCUAAGCCUCGAGUGUUACCAGCCAAAUAAUCCUAAAUAAGCAGUACGAAAACGAAGAUUGAAGAGUUACGGCGGGGAGAUUCAAAUGGACAAUAGAAGAAGUAGAAAGAGUUCCCAGCGAGAGAGCAGGAGAGCGAACUUACAAGAGACGUAGUAGCUACGAAGGCUGCUUGGAGCGCGCCGCUGGUUUAGACACAAAGUUCCCCAACAGUUCAGAGUUUUUCCAGCAGCGAGAGGUUUUUCGCGUCUCCCCUAGAGACUGGGGUUUUGGAUGUUAGAAUUAGCCAGCAGCCUCGCCGUAACGUGCAAAUUUCACCGCGCG
rnacentral:lncRNA from 1 species